rnacentral:rRNA from 1 species
GAUCAUGGCUCAGGACGAACGCUGGCGGCGUGCCUAAUACAUGCAAGUAGAACGCUGAAGGAGGAGCUUGCUUCUCUGGAUGAGUUGCGAACGGGUGAGUAACGCGUAGGUAACCUGCCUGGUAGCUGGGGAUAACUAUUGGAAACGAUAGCUAAUACCGCAUAACAGUAGAUGUCGCAUGACAUUUGCUUAAAAGGUGCAAUUGCAUCACUACCAGGUGG